rnacentral:rRNA from 1 species
AGAGUUUGAUCCUGGCUCAGAUUGAACGCUGGCGGCAGGCCUAACACAUGCAAGUCGAGCGGUAACAGAUCUAGCUUGCUAGAUGCUGACGAGCGGCGGACGGGUGAGUAACGCGUAGAAAACUGCCCAGUAGUGGGGGAUAGCCCAGAGAAAUUUGGAUUAAUACCGCAUACGCCCUACGGGGGAAAGGGGGCUUCGGCUCUCGCUAUUGGAUGUGUCUGCGUGGGAUUAGCUAGUUGGUGAGGUAAGGGCUCACCAAGGCGACGAUCCCUAGCUGGUCUGAGAGGAUGAUCAGCCACACUGGGACUGAGACACGGCCCAGACUCCUACGGGAGGCAGCAGUGGGGAAUAUUGCACAAUGGGCGCAAGCCUGAUGCAGCCAUGCCGCGUGUGUGAAGAAGGCUUUCGGGUUGUAAAGCACUUUCAGUGAGGAGGAAAAGUUAACGGUUAAUACCCGUUAGCCCUGACGUUACUCACAGAAGAAGCACCGCUAACU